GGAAGGAUGCCAGAGUGGACGAAUGGGACGGCCUCGAAAGCCGUUGAGGCUUUCGGGUCUCCGUGGGUUCGAAUCCCACUCCUUCCGCCA
rnacentral:tRNA from 1 species